AGUGAACGCUGGCGGUAGGCCUAACACAUGCAAGUCGAACGGCAGCACAGGAGAGCUUGCUCUCUGGGUGGCGAGUGGCGGACGGGUGAGGAAUACAUCGGAAUUUACUCUGUCGUGGGGGAUAACGUAGGGAAACUUACGCUAAUACCGCAUACGACCUACGGGUGAAAGCAGGGGACCUUCGGGCCUUGCGCGAUGGAAUGAGCCGAUGUCGGAUUAGCUAGUUGGCGGGGUAAAGGCCCACCAAGGCGACGAUCCGUAGCUGGUCUGAGAGGAUGAUCAGCCACACUGGAACUGAGACACGGUCCAGACUCCUACGGGAGGCAGCAGUGGGGAAUAUUGGACAAUGGGCGCAAGCCUGAUCCAGCCAUACCGCGUGGGUGAAGAAGGCCUUCGGGUUGUAAAGCCCUUUUGUUGGGAAAGAAAUCCAGCUGGCUAAUACCCGGUUGGGAUGACGGUACCCAAAGAAUAAGCACCGGCUAACUUCGUGCCAGCCGCCGCAGUAA
rnacentral:rRNA from 1 species